GGCACCACCUGAUCCCUUCCCGAACUCAGAAGUGAAACAUCGUUGCGCCAAUGGUAGUGUGGUUCGCCCAUGUGAGAGUAGGUCAUCGUCAGCU
rnacentral:rRNA from 1 species